rnacentral:rRNA from 1 species
AUUGAACGCUGGCGGCAUGCCUUACACAUGCAAGUCGAACGGCAGCGCGGGCUUCGGCCUGGCGGCGAGUGGCGAACGGGUGAGUAAUAUAUCGGAACGUGCCCUGGAGUGGGGAUAACUAGUCGAAAGAUUAGCUAAUACCGCAUACGAUCUACGGAUGAAAGUGGGGGAUCGCAAGACCUCAUGCUCGUGGAGCGGCCGAUAUCUGAUUAGCUAGUUGGUAGGGUAAAAGCCUACCAAGGCGACGAUCAGUAGCUGGUCUGAGAGGACGACCAGCCACACUGGGACUGAGACACGGCCCAGACUCCUACGGGAGGCAGCAGUGGGGAAUUUUGGACAAUGGGCGAAAGCCUGAUCCAGCAAUGCCGCGUGUGUGAAGAAGGCCUUCGGGUUGUAAAGCACUUUUGUCCGGAAAGAAAUCCUUUGGGCUAAUACCUCGGAGGGAUGACGGUACCGGAAGAAUAAGCACCGGCUAACUACGUGCCAGCAGCCGCGGUAAUACGUAGGGUGCAAGCGUUAAUCGGAAUUACUGGGCGUAAAGCGUGCGCAGGCGGUUGUGCAAGACAGAUGUGAAAUCCCCGGGGCUUAACCUGGGAACUGCAUUUGUGACUGCACGGCUAGAGUGUGUCAGAGGGGGGUUAGAAUUCCACGUGUAGCAGUGAAAUGCGUAGAUACGUGGAGGAAUACCGAUGGCGAAGGCAGCCCCCCUGGGAUAACACUGACGCUCAUGCACG